rnacentral:rRNA from 1 species
AUUGAACGCUGGCGGCAGGCCUAACACAUGCAAGUCGAGCGAGUGGCGGACGGGUGAGUAAUGUCUGGGAAACUGCCCGAUAGAGGGGGAUAACUACUGGAAACGGUAUCUAAUACCGCAUACCAUCGGAUUUCCCCAUAUGGGAUUAGCUAGUAGGUGGGGUAAAGGCUCACCAAGGCGACGAUCCCUAGCUGGUCUGAGAGGAUGACCAGCCAAACUGGAACUGAGCCACGGUCCAGACUCCUACGAGAGGCAGCAGUGGGGAAUAUUGCACAAUGGGCGCAAGCCUGAUGCAGCCAUGCCGCGUGUAUGAAGAAGGCCUUCGGGGUGUAAAGUACUUUCAGCGGGGAGGCGUUACCCGCAGAAGAAGCACCGGCUAACUCCGUGCCAGCAGCCGCGGUAAUAC